AACCACCACCAACCCAAAAUCCUGACACAUCUCCUUCUUUUACUAAACCUACGCACGAGGAAUCUUCGCAAAACUCAUCAUCAUCUUCUUCUACCAGUCCGUUUGAGUCGUCCCCUUCGCCGCCUACCCUAUCUCAAAAUCAAAACUCGGUUUACAAUCCUAUUCCAUUACCAUCCCAUCCCAUGAUGUCCAGAGGUAAAUCGGGAAUUUUUAAACCCAAAGUUUGUGUUAUGAAGGCGAAGGCUAACUGGUCUGUAACCGAGCCCACUCGCUUCAAAGAUGCUCUAGCAACUCCUCAAUGGAAAGUCGCGAUGGACACAAAACCCUAAUGGAUCUAUUCAGCGCUACAAAUGCGACUGGUGGCGAAAGUAUUUCAUCAUUACCCGGGGUUGAUUUUUUUGAGACGUUCAGCCCUAUAGUUAAGGCUUCAACUAUCAGAGUUGUUCUCAGCAUGGUUGUCACGAAAGGAUGGUCUCUUCGACAGCUUGAUCUCAACGAUGCAUACUUAAAUGGCAGCCUGAAUGAAGAUGUUCACAUGAAUCAACCUCUUUGUUAUGUAAGUACUACACAUCCGAACUAUGUAUGUAAAUUAGACAAAGCUAUCUAUGGGAUUGAAACAGCAACCCCGUGCCUGGAAUAAUACACUGAGAGUUGCUGUACUGGGAUGGGGAUUCCGGAACUCAAAAUCUGAUAGUUCUCUAUUCAUCUUUCA